ensembl:lncRNA
UGACAACAAAAUGCCAAUUGCUCCGUAUCAAAAACAGCGAAGCGAAGAGAGACAAAAGCAAGGGCGAAAACCAGAAUAAACAUUAGCUCAUGCUGCAUUUCCAAUGUGGAAAUAGCUAAUAAUGGCAUUGAAAGGGACGAGGUUCGACUCUGAUUUAGAGCUUUUUCUUCUGGACAGCCAUUACAGUUUGUUGGGUCAGGGUCUUCUCUCUGCUUUGCCAAAGAAGAAAGUGGAAGAAAGAGGAAUGGGUUUCCACUCAGGUUUCCACUCAGAAAGCAGCAGCCAUUGGAAUGAAGAUUUUCCGUUUCCACGCUGAUGUAUAGUUUCCAAACAGUUGCCAAACUGUAC